rnacentral:rRNA from 1 species
UGGGGAAUAUUGCACAAUGGAGGAAACUCUGAUGCAGCGACGCCGCGUGAGUGAAGAAGGUCUUCGGAUCGUAAAACUCUGUCCUUGGUGAAGAAAGAAAUGACGGUAGCCAAGGAGGAAGCCCCGGCUAACUACGUGCCAGCAGCCGCGGUAAUACGUAGGGGGCGAGCGUUGUCCGGAUUUACUGGGCGUAAAGGGUGAGUAGGCGGUGAUAUGUGUCAGAUGUAAAAGGCUAUGGCUUAACUAUAGUUAGCAUUUGAAACUGUAUUUCUUGAGUGCAGGAGAGGUAAGUGGAAUUCCUAGUGUAGCGGUGAAAUGCGUAGAUAUUAGGAGGAACACCAGUGGCGAAGGCGACUUACUGGACUGUAACUGACGCUGAGUCACGAAAGCGUGGGUAGCAAACA